rnacentral:rRNA from 1 species
AGCGGCGUACGGGUGCGGAACACGUGUGCAACCUGCCUUUAUCUGGGGGAUAGCCUUUCGAAAGGAAGAUUAAUACCCCAUAAUAUAUUGAAUGGCAUCAUUCGAUAUUGAAAACUCCGGUGGAUAGAGAUGGGCACGCGCAAGAUUAGAUAGUUGGUGAGGUAACGGCUCACCAAGUCUGCGAUCUUUAGGGGGCCUGAGAGGGUGAUCCCCCACACUGGUACUGAGACACGGACCAGACUCCUACGGGAGGCAGCAGUGAGGAAUAUUGGACAAUGGGUGAGAGCCUGAUCCAGCCAUCCCGCGUGAAGGACGACGGCCCUAUGGGUUGUAAACUUCUUUUGUAUAGGGAUAAACCUAGAUACGUGUAUCUAGCUGAAGGUACUAUACGAAUAAGCACCGGCUAACUCCGUGCCAGCAGCCGCGGUAAUACGGAGGGUGCAAGCGUUAUCCGGAUUUAUUGGGUUUAAAGGGUCCGUAGGCGGAUCUGUAAGUCAGUGGUGAAAUCUCACAGCUUAACUGUGAAACUGCCAUUGAUACUGCAGGUCUUGAGUGUUGUUGAAGUAGCUGGAAUAAGUAGUGUAGCGGUGAAAUGCAUAGAUAUUACUUAGAACACCAAUUGCGAAGGCAGGUUACUAAGCAACAACUGACGCUGAUGGACGAAAGCGUGGGGAGCGAACAGGAUUAGAUACCCUGGUAGUCCACGCCGUAAACGAUGCUAACUCGUUUUUGGUCUUUCGGGAUCAGAGACUAAGCGAAAGUGAUAAGUUAGCCACCUGGGGAGUACGUUCGCAAGAAUGAAACUCAAAGGAAUUGACGGGGGCCCGCACAAGCGGUGGAUUAUGUGGUUUAAUUCGAUGAUACGCGAGGAACCUUACCAAGGCUUAAAUGGGAAAUGACAGGUUUAGAAAUAGACUUUUCUUCGGACAUUUUUCAAGGUGCUGCAUGGUUGUCGUCAGCUCGUGCCGUGAGGUGUUAGGUUAAGUCCUGCAACGAGCGCAACCCCUGUCACUAGUUGCCAUCAUUAAGUUGGGGACUCUAGUGAGACUGCCUACGCAAGUAGAGAGGAAGGUGGGGAUGACGUCAAAUCACCACGGCCCUUACGCCUUGGGCCACACACGUAAUACAAUGGCCAGUACAGAGGGCAGCUACACAGCGAUGUGAUGCAAAUCUCGAAAGCUGGUCUCAGUUCGGAUUGGAGUCUGCAACUCGACUCUAUGAAGCUGGAAUCGCUAGUAAUCGCGCAUCAGCCAUGGCGCGGUGAAUACGUUCCCGGGCCUUGUACACACCGCCCGUCAAGCCAUGGAAGUCUGGGGUACCUGAAGUCGGUGACCGUA